rnacentral:lncRNA from 1 species
UGUCCUAGCAUGAGUUCCAGGCAGGGCACCAUUGUAGAUUAAAGGGAUUGUGGUUGGGAGGGGGUUAACAUUUUUCUUUUGAUAGCAUGCAGUGUACUUUCUGUGACAAAGAUGCUAGAUCAUAAGAAGAAAGAUCCUACGUGGGCUCAACUUCUUCAUGUUCAAUGAAUUGUGAUGGGUUCUUGACAUCAUUUUUUGGACAGCAAACUGUAGCAGCUUUACUUUUUGACAGUUUUCGUAAAUUAUAAGACUCAUGUCAUCUAUUCAAGAACAAAAGAAACAGUUAUCAGAGUGAAGAGGAAACCUACAGAAUGGGAGAAAUCUUUGUAAACAACUCAUCUGAUAAAUUAUUAGUAUACAGCAUCUAUAAAGACUCAAAUGACUUAAAUGUAAGUUGACAAGGAUAACAAGAAUGCAUUUAAAAGCAGACUAGAGAACUGAACUGACAUUUCUCAAAUGAAUAUGUAAGUAAUUAAGUAGUAUUUCGAAAAAUAUUCUACAUUAAUAAUAAUGAAGUAAAUAGAAAAGAAAAUAACAACAGUGAGAUUCUAUAGCUCUAGUAAGGACAGUUACUGCCUAAAUGACCUAAGGUACCAAGUGCUACUGAAGAUGCAGAAGAAAGCCAUCCUUUGGUUGUUAAUGGAAGGGAAAGAAAUUAGUAAGUCAUCAUAGAAAACAAUAUAGAGUUUUCACACACACAAAAUAAAAUUAAUGAAGAACUGCUAUGCAAAACCAACAAGACUGCUACAUAGUAUGUAGCUACAAGAAAAUCAGCUUGUUGGAGUGAAAGCUUCACUCUUAUGUUUGCCAUAGCAAUAUUCACAAUGGAGAAAUAGAAGCCCGGUGCUCAUCUCCUGAUGAGUGCAUAGGAAAGUGCCAUGCAUACACAUAAUAGAAUACUUAGUUACAAAAUUAAUGAUGUAUCACUAUCUGUAACAUAUUUGAGAAUUUCAUAGCAAUUUUCAGGAUUCUGUGACAUGUAAGAGAAUCAAAUGUAAAUUACAGUUGUUUUGAAAAGUUUAUCAUUUAUUUAUUUAUUUACAAAAUUAAGCAUGUGCAUUGUGUAAUCAUAGUCAUUUUUUCUUUGUAUUUUUCACCCUUUCACUUUUUAUAAUAUGAAUUUGUGUUUUUCUUUGUUCAUGCCUGAAAUUUAAUUGGAACUUUCAACUUGAUAGCCUUAUCAAAGCAGCAAUUGGAUGUUCACAGUAGUUUAACGAAGUCAUGGGUAUGUUUAGAUUGGUGCUUUGUAGAUUUAUCUCAAUAUUAAAUUUCACACAUAUCAAAUUCAGGCGAAAAUGUAUACUUGAAGACUAACUGCCUGACAAGACUGAAAGGAACACUUGGCAAACACCCAAAGGCUUAAUCUUACCCAAUAUAGAAGUCACCCAGAUUAUGGAUCUGCAGAAUUCCCAAGGAAGAGAACCAAAUACAGAAUACAGAUAAAAAGAUUUUAUCUUAUUAAUAUAAAUAUUGAUGUAAAAUGUC